CUCAGGGUACCAGCACCCGGACCUAAGCCCAGACUGGAAGUAGUUAGAAUUCGGAUUCACCAAGCGAGACCUUCCUCAAGCAGCCAAACAGUAUGGAAUUGUUAUCCUGAAAAGAGAAAUAUCAAAUAUCAGUCUGCCAGAUUACAAAGGGCGCUAGUAUGUUAGCUACAUUGGAAAUGUGUUCUACAAUUUUCACAGCCUGGUGAACCAGGGAACUCACCUGAGGAACUCAUACCUGGGCCUGCUACCUUGGGAGGGCAUGAAAGUUUCUAUCUCUAAUUCUUCUAUCUCUUUCACAGGGAACUGGGAAGUAACAAAGUUUUUCAUAAGUCUUGGUGGAACCUUUGAUCUGAAGAUUGAGAAUAUGUACAUUUCAGUCUCUCUGAGGUUGGGCACUGAUCAUUCAGCAAGACCCACAAUCACCAUCAGUGAUUGUAGCAGCC
rnacentral:lncRNA from 1 species